rnacentral:siRNA from 1 species
ACAAGAGGAGGCCUCCAACCUA